GGCCUACUGUUUGUUUUGACACUCAUAUGUGAAAAGCAGCAAAGUAACCUUUCACCAGCAGUAAAUGCAAACCUAACAAUUUUAAGAGGAACAAAUUCGUUAGUUUUAACUAGUAUUAUUGUCAUGAGAACAUGCUAGAAUGCAGCAUAAACAAUUCUUGUAGUCAUCAGGGAAUUGAAGAAUAACAGCAGUGGUAUGUCCUCAGCUUGUAAAGAUAAAUGACAGGAGGCUCAAACAUUCCACAACAAUUUGAAGGACAUCAGGUUCAUUGCUUACCAUUACAACAGAUUUUCUGGCGCAUGCAAAGCACUCAACUCCUCCAGCAUCAAGAAGCACA
rnacentral:lncRNA from 1 species